UACGGAAGGGGCAAGCGUUGUUCGGAAUCAUUGGGCGUAAAGGGCGCGUAGGUGGUCGUGUAUGUCUACCGUGAAAGCCCACGGCUCAACCGUGGUGCGUCGGUGGAAACUGCAGGACUUGAGGCUGGGAGGGGCUGGUGGAAUUCCCCGUGUAGCGGUGAAAUGCGUAGAGAUGUGGAGGAACACCGGUGGCGAAGGCGGCAUCCUGGGCCAACACUGACACUGAGGAGCGAAAGCCAGGGGAGCAAACGGG
rnacentral:rRNA from 1 species